GCGUGGCGCCCGCGCCCGCCGUGCGGCGCCGCUGGAGCCCGCCGGGCUGGGGUCCCCGGGCAGCGGCGCGCGGCGCCGGGCCGGGAAGGCAACGGGGGCCGAGCGCCUGGGCGCCGCCGAGGCGGACCCGCUCCCGGGACCCGCUGGAGCCGGCGAAGGAACUAACUAUAUUCCCUACUUUAUGUGAAAUAAACUGGCAGAUUUUCAACCCGGAUUCAUCUUUCACAGUCCCUGCCUUGGCUGAUGGUAAACUCUCUGCAUUGCCGACCCUGCUUCAACACAGACAAUUCCUCUUCCGCCUUUAA
rnacentral:lncRNA from 1 species